rnacentral:rRNA from 1 species
CCUACGGGAGGCAGCAGUGGGGAAUAUUGGACAAUGGGCGAAAGCCUGAUCCAGCCAUGCCGCGUGUGUGAAGAAGGUCUUCGGAUUGUAAAGCACUUUAAGUUGGGAGGAAGGGUUGUAGAUUAAUACUCUGCAAUUUUGACGUUACCGACAGAAUAAGCACCGGCUAACUCUGUGCCAGCAGCCGCGGUAAUACAGAGGGUGCAAGCGUUAAUCGGAAUUACUGGGCGUAAAGCGCGCGUAGGUGGUUUGUUAAGUUGGAUGUGAAAGCCCCGGGCUCAACCUGGGAACUGCAUCCAAAACUGGCAAGCUAGAGUACGGUAGAGGGUGGUGGAAUUUCCUGUGUAGCGGUGAAAUGCGUAGAUAUAGGAAGGAACACCAGUGGCGAAGGCGACCACCUGGACUGAUACUGACACUGAGGUGCGAAAGCGUGGGGAGCAAACAGGAUUAGAUACCCUGGUAGUCCACGCCGUAAACGAUGUCAACUAGCCGUUGGAAUCCUUGUAGUAUUAGUUAGGUCGCAGCUACGACGAUAAGUUAGUACCGCCGUGGGAGGUACGGUCCGGUCGAACGGUUAAACGUUAACGUAAAGUUAGUUAAGUUAGUUACGGCGUUGAGACGUUGCCGACGGACGACGACGAGGGAGGAGG